UACAGAGGUCUCAAGCGUUUGUUCGGAUUCAUUGGGCGUAAAGGGUGUGUAGGUGGCGCGCUAAGUCGGGUGUGAAAUUUCGGAAGCUUAACUCCGAAACUGCAUUCGAUACUGCCGUGCUUGAGGACUGGAGAGGAGACUGGAAUUUACGGUGUAGCGGUGAAAUGCGUAGAUAUCGUGAAGGAAGACCAGUGGCGAAGGCGGGUCUCUGGGCAGUAACUGACG
rnacentral:rRNA from 1 species